GGAAUAUAGCUCAGUUGGUAGUGCACUUACCUCACAUGUACAAGGCCCUGGGUUCAAUCCCCAGUACCA
rnacentral:tRNA from 1 species